AUGAGAUCCAUGACGGCUUCGUGGAUAACCUGGACCUCCUCCCGCAGCCGCCGCUCCGAGCCGAUGUUCAGCGCGCGCUUGAUCUUCCAGACGGCGGCCAGCGGCGCAGCCCCGCGCCUGGCGAUGAUCCCGGCGGCGGCGUCGAAGGCGGUGGCCAGCCUCGGCGCGGGCAAUGCCGGGUCGAGGCAUCCCGGGUCAACGCCCAGCGAGACACGGCAGAUGACGUCGAAUGCGAACCGGCGGAGGACAUCCUGCAUGUCGACGGCGCCGCCGCCCGGCUCAGCGGCCGCUUCCAUCGCCGGGACGAGGCGGUCGAGCGCCUCAGCCUCGAGCACAGCGAUCUCCAGCUCACGGAGCGUGCGCGCCGAGAACUCGUGGCUGACCAGCUUCCGCUGGGCGAACCACUUGUCGCCGUCGACGUUGAAGAUGCCAUUGCCGAGCAGGUCGCCGAGCACGUCGGUGAACGGCUUCCCCUUGGGGUAG
rnacentral:rRNA from 1 species